ACAUGAUUAAAAAUAAAAAAAGGACAGGGCGGCUGGCUUGUUUCAACCCAGAAAAGCGUUUAUUCGCUUCACUUCUAGAGCAGCAACAACUUGCUCGUUGUGACAGCUAGCUACAGGUAGCUCUGACUACCCAACGCAAUUUUGAGGAGCAAAGGAUUAUGGAGUUUGUCUAUGAAUAUCACGCAUCUCUGUGUCCCCUGAGGCCUGUUUCCUGUAGACGAGACCAAAUGCUCUGGAUACGACCCGCAUGUUCCGGAUGGCUGUUUGUGUUGCCACACAUACACUGGUGCUUUUGCAUCAAUGAGUCAUACACCAGACCUGAACGAUAAACGACACCAAAGAAACGUGAAACGUGGCUUGACCGCCGGCUCCGGCACCAUCAUGGGGAAGGAGGAGGAGGCCGGAGAGGACUGGGCCCUGGAAAGCGGGCGGUGCCCCGCCAAGCUGACCGACAAACUGGCCGCCUCCAUCGACGCCCGAUAGCUCCUCAACUGGUGGAUACGUUGUUGCUCCAACAGCAGGGUCUGCUGCUUUAACACCCGUACACACACACGCACGCACGCGCACACGCACAUUCUCUUCAGUGAGAUGCACACAUUCCGGUGAUCGGGCCCAUUUUGAGCAUUUUUCCGAUCAAAAUCAACAAAGACCGCUAAUCAGAUGUCUGUGAAAGAUUAUUCUCUGGUGUGGGGUGUGUGAAGUGAUUUUUCCUCCACGCUCGAAUAACAGUCGGGGCCAACAAAUCCUUAUGUGUGUGGUCAACACCAAGUUCGGCCAAGCUACAGACUCCGUGAUAGUGAUGUGAUUUGAAGUGAUUGCCGGUGGGGCUAUCGUAUUGUUUGCUGGUUGUUUCCUAGUCAUUUGUGGGAUCUCUCACAUUUUAAAAGUAAGAAAAUCGCUGUGUGGACAGUGAAUGCCCGCCUAUUUGCAGUUUGAUAUUCACAAUAUUACAUAUCUGUGUUUGUUUUUUCUCUGGAGCCAAUUUAUCCUUAGCUAUUCACUUUAAAAAAAAAAAAAAAAAAAAAAAAAAAAGCUAUUUCCAUAUUGUUGUGCUCUUUCUACGACAACCUAAUAUGCCACAAGAUGGCGCCAAAUCCCUGGCUUGUUUUGGUCAAGGAAGAGAAUUGUUGAAGUGAUACAUCUCGACUGAAUCUUAAGAUCUUUGUAUGUCAGGGAUCAUCUAAGUUCAGCCUGGGUUGUUAGUGAAAGUUUUAUGGAGUCUUCAGUACAUGUGCAUGUAAAUGUGCACUUCUGGUGCAGUUUUUUUCUUUAAAUCAAAUAAUCUGUUAGCCAUUUAUUUUUUAGUAUGAUGAAUUUGAAAAUGUUGGAUCAUAGUUUGUGGUAUAUUUACUGUUUCAACUAUUAUUAUAGUCAAUUCAAACAUUUUGGGGGGGGGCUAUCAAAUACUCAUGUUUUUUCGCUAUUCACUUAGGGCCACAUCCUCCCGUAUGUUCCACGCUUUUCUGUCUGCGCCCAUUCUGCGCGUCUUCUGGCCAUGUGCGCACUUUGGGUGGAGUAACCCUAAAGUGUGGGCGUUCCCUCUCAUAUCUGGCCUUGCAGUUAUUCUGCCCAAGACUUAAGUCUUUCCUCAUGCCCACUCCGGAGGCUGUAGUAAAUCUAGUGUCCCGGGACGGAGAAACAUUAUAUUGAGCAUUUUGAUUAGCUCGCGUCCUCCAAGCAGUCGACGGCUGGUGGCGACCCAGUGACUGACACGGCAUGCUGACGGACACCUGGCCUAUAUACGCUCACCGACUGCCCAACUGCCACAUUACGCCGAUACGCUGAUCAACAGCUGGCCACUCGCUUUGUUGAUGGCCUUCCAAACGCGAAUUCAAUUACAUAUGCAGUAUAGUACAGUAUUUAUUUUAAAAGAGUGGGUAUAGAGAGAGAAUACAAAAACACAUGCGCCUUUAAAUUAGCCCAUUCGAGGAGUGGUGUCCACGUCUCAUUGGACGAACGCCAACUUCCGUAGAUCUGCACUGGGGUUAAUUUCACAGGUAAAGCAUGAAAUAUUUCCCCAAUGUAUUUCAAUAACAUUCACAUGUCUCAGGAAAACUCCACAUUCUGGGAAUUCUACCCACCUGCAGAUUUCAAUGAGUCAAGCUGCUGGGUGGGUGUGUCAGAAGUUAUUGAAAACGUGCAAGUCAGGCACGCAAAAUACUGACUUACGCACGGUUACUGCCCGCUUUACGGACGUGUCGUAUGACAGUGGAGACUGCAUUUUCUCUCUCUUGCCAAAAGAUGGCGCCCUGGGCACAAAUACCAAGCUGUGUGAUGAGGUUGAAAGAACACAUCAUAUUUGAAAAAGAUGUUGGAAAAGCUAUAGUUAUAAAAGAAGAAAAACGGAAUUUUGUGCAAAAUUCAAAGUAAGCUGGUUUCAACAUGGAAAAUAACAUCAAACAAAAAGACGAGUUUUCAGUUUGGUUGUGCAGCAUACAUACACUUGGCCUAAUUGGCUAUUUGAAUUACUAUACAUUGUCUCACGGAAACUUAACCCAAGUAUUGGCGCGUGAUGGGUUGCACUUUCCACUCCACAAUUCAAGUCAUCAAGCACUCCUGUGUUGCCAUCCCGAUAGGCGUGUCCGCUUACACUACGGGCGCCAUGGCGACAGCCAGAGGAGUGUCUGAUUGAAUUUGGCUGAGGACGGCAGGGAUGGGCAAGACAGCAAGAGGACACGAUGUCCUGACUGUGUUACAGGAGAUCGUGUGUUAGUUUGUGGGGCCUGAAGAUGUUAUCACGGGUGUUUUACGCUACAAACAAACACGAUCUGUUGGUCUGAUGUGUUUGCACCAUAAAGGGUUACAGUAUGCAAAUGAGACCAGCUACAAUUAUGAGCACAAUCUGGCGAGAUAAAAUGCAAGACAAGUUUGUAAAAGCUAAUAAUCCUCAUCAAUUCUUUCAUAGCGUUGCAGUUUGCUGUCAAGUGGUCAUGGUGGUCAGUGUCUACAGAAUACUGAAAGUAACACAUUGUGAUGUAAUGAAUUUUGUCCAGAAAAUGUUGCAAACAUCUCGUCUGAGUUCCAUUAAUCAAUUUUUAUAGCACUUGUCCUGGGGUCACAGGUGAGCUAGAGCUUCUCCUGCCUAAGCUGACGUUGGGCGGGACUUUAAUGAACCUAACAUGCAUGUUUUUGGAAGGCAGAGUACCAGGGGGGCAUGUAAACUCCCGACAGCAAGGCUCGAGCCGAGAUUCAAACCCGGAACCUUUUGACUGCAAGACAGAUAUGAAAACCACUACGUACUGACCUCUUACAUAAUUUCCCGUGCAAAAAUAAUGAACAGUACAGUUACAAAUUGUGUGUGUGGUGGUGUUUUAUUGUCCAUCUGCCAUGGCUGUCUGCUUGCUCCCACUGACUUCCUUUACAAAAGAAAAACACUCCAACAUUCAGCAAAGGAAAAAAAAAUACUCAGUGUUACAUAAGAAGAGAGAUGAAGAAGAGAGGGAUUCAGAGAUGGGAUUUGAUGCAUUUCAACUUCUUCACAUGGUUUCUCUCCUUACCUGUCGGAACAAGAGCUCCUGCUCAGCCUGCCUCUCCUCCUGCUCCUGAGGGUCAAGGGGCUCCUGCUUGAUGACCACGGAGGAAGAGGACGGUGAUGAUGAUGAGGAGGAGGAGGAGGACGAGAGACCCUGAUGCUCCCUGAGCUCCUCUUCCGUCUCCUCCGGGUGACUCUGGUGCUGCCUUGAUGACACAGAUGGCGCGGAGCUGGCAGCUGAGCACUGGUCACCGGGUUUCGACAUGAUCUGGACACAAAAUUAAAUGUGGAAAAUGCAACCUAGAUGAUACUGACCGGCAUCCAACUUAUGAAACUGAAGAUGAUGACAGUAGCCCAAUUGAGGAUAAAAGAUUCAUUAUAACACAAAAGUCAAAAUAAUUUGGCAAAAAGCCCAAAUCUGAGAAACUGCUGGUGCUGCUGCUGGACCACCAGCUGCUGCAGGGCCUGAGCUUGACCGCACUGCUGCUGGGGCAGGGGGGCCGACUGGGUACGACCCAAAGGGUGGUGGCCGCGGGCCAACUUGGAGAUAGAAGGCGACGGGAGCGGAAGGCCGCUUAAGCCAACUGCGGAACACAAAAGCACAAAUGGAGUUGGAAAGCACGCUAGACUACUUAGAUAAUAGCGGGCAGAUUGUUUUCCUUUUAAAGCUACAUGAGAAAAUUACAGUUGCAAACAAUUGUUUUAGAAAAAGUUUUCACUUGCUGAGCUAUUGUACUGCUAGUGGGAUGUUUGUGUUCUAUGAUUUUUUUUUGUUUUAUCCCUAGAUGAAAUUUUAAAUAAAACCAUUCAUCCUUUAUUAGGGCUCACUCACUAGUUUGUACACCAUGUUAUUUUACAUCCACAUUUAUAAGACAAUGUCAUAAGUUGUUAUAUCGUUCUUGAAGAGCUAUUUUGCACUGUAUAACUAAUGUUAUUUCUAGUCUUAAUGUUAGCUGUGCAUAUGCUAUGUAUGUUAACCUUGAGUUUAAAAUAAACAAAGUUUAUAUUUGCUGAUGUGUUGUAGGCUACUAGAUAAUCCAGUUGUUUAUUCAAUUAUUCCAGCAAAAUUUUCAAGAAAUGCCA